AAGACUAUACUUUCAGGGAUCAUUUCUAUAGUUCGUUACUAGAGAAG
rfam:Cricetulus griseus cell line CHO-K1, whole genome shotgun sequence.